CCCGCCUAGCGUCUAAUGGAGAACCCCAGGCCCCUACCCCCUGCCAUCACCCCUCCCAUGGCCCCCCUCCCCGUCCCCCCACCCAUCGCCCCCGUCCCCGUCUCACCCCGCGCCCCCGCCUCCACAUCCGCCGCAGCCGGAGGCGGAGACGAGGAGGAGGUCGACUACGAGGUCUCCGACGACCACCGCGCCGCGCGGGAGCGCCACGAGCGCGCCGUACAGGAGCUCCUGCAGCGCCGGCGCGCCUACGCCAUGGCCGUGCCCACCAACGACUCCGCCGUGCGCGCGCGCCUCCGCCGUCUCGGCGAGCCCAUCACGCUCUUCGGCGAGGGCGCGAUGGAGCGCCGCGACCGGCUACGCGCACUCAUGGCCCGCCUCGAGGCCGAGGGCCAGUUCGACCGCCUCCUCCGCGCGCAGGAGGACGAACAGGGAGCCCCGGGCGACGACGAGGAGGACACGGAGGAGCAGAUCAAGUACCCGUUCUUCACCGAGGGGACCAACCAACUGCUCCAGGCGCGCGUUGACAUCGCCAUGUACUCGCUGCCCCGCGCCAAGGCCAGGGUCGAGAGGGCCAAGCGACGACUCGCCGACCCCGACGAGGACCCCGAGGCAGAGGCCGGACUUGUUGUGAAGCAGGCGGCGGACUUCGUGCUUGAGUGCAGCGAGAUUGGAGAUGACCGCCCGCUCACCGGCUGCUCCUUCUCCCGCGACGCCUCGAUGCUCGCCACAAGUUCCUGGAGCGGAAUCGUCAAAGUAUGGAGCAUGCCGCAGAUAACCAAAAUUGCAACCCUGAAAGGUCAUACAGAACGCGCAACUGAUGUUGCCUUCUCUCCAGUCGAUAACUGCUUAGCGACAGCCUCAGCUGAUAGAACUGCCAAAUUGUGGAACAGCCAUGGGUCACUUCUAAUGUCCUUUGAUGGUCACCUGGAUCGUCUUGCUCGCCUUGCUUUUCAUCCAUCUGGAAAGUACCUUGGCACAGCUAGCUUUGACAAGACCUGGAGAUUAUGGGACAUCAAUACUGGAACUGAACUUCUACUCCAGGAGGGGCAUAGCAGAAGUGUAUAUGAUCUUAGCUUUCACCCUGACGGUUCUUUAGCUGCAUCUUGUGGGUUUGAUGCGACUGCUCGAGUUUGGGAUCUCAGAUCAGGAAGAUUGUACUGUACCCUCAUUGGACAUGUGAAGCCUGUCCUAGGAGUCAGCUUCUCCCCUAAUGGUCAUCUGGUUGCAACCGCAAGUGAAGACAAUUUCUGUCGAAUAUGGGAUUUGAGGACCAGACAAAUGAUUUAUUCUAUACCAGCACAUAAGAGUCUUAUCUCACAUGUGAAAUUUGAACCCCAGGAGGGUUAUUAUUUAGUGACAUCUUCCUAUGACACUAAAGCAGCGCUGUGGUCAACUCGGGAUUACAGACCAAUUAAAAGCUUGUCAGGCCAUGAGUCAAAUGUUUCUAGUCUGGAUAUCAGUGGAGAUGGACAACAGAUUGUGACUGUUUCACACGAUAGAACGAUAAAGAUUUGGUCAUGCAGAGGCAGCGCGCGGGAUGAUGAGAUGGAGUUGGAUUAAGCAUUGAUUCCACCGUUGUUGGAAACAGGGUUUGGCAGUUGGCAAUAGCUUACAGAUCCGACAAUACAGUAUAAAGUCAUACACUGACUAUCCAUUGGAUAUGGUCGUUUGGUAUCCUACGUAUGUGAAUGAUGGCCAUGUCCAUGAGACUGCCUGCAUGGUGGACCUGAUUAAUUUGCAUACUGCAGAUUGCAACAGUACAUUGCUCAUUGAAGGCAAAGAUGACUGCCAAAGAGUUUGAGGAGCUUGUCCUCAAUGGCCACAACUACUCUUCAUGGGCUAUGGACAUCAAGAUCAGUCUUGCGUCCCGUGGGAUAGCGCGUGCAAUCCAGCCCCCGGAGACUCUUCUCCCGACUCGAGUCAUGCCGCUGAGAGAACGAUGGAAUUAUGAUGCCUUGUUCAUCAUAAGACACCAUAUUCAUCCAGAACUCAAGUAUGAGUAUUUAUAGGAGGAAUCUCCUAGUACUUUGUUUCUGGCUCUCAAAACGAGGUAUGAACAACAGAAGGCAGUAAUCCUGCCAGAAGCACUCCAUGGUUGGACUCAUCUGUGCCUUUAGGAUUUCAAGUCCAUUGGUGAGUACAAUCAUUAUGUUCAUAAGAUAUGUUCUAAACUGC